rnacentral:rRNA from 1 species
UAGCUAGUUGGUGAGCGUAACGGCUCACCAAGGCAACGAUGCGUAGCCGACCUGAGAGGGUGAUCGGCCACACUGGGACUGAGACACGGCCCAGACUCCUACGGGAGGCAGCAGUAGGGAAUCUUCCGCAAUGGACGAAAGUCUGACGGAGCAACGCCGCGUGAGUGAUGAAGGCUUUCGGGUCGUAAAACUCUGUUGUUAGGGAAGAACAAGUGCUAGUUGAAUAAGCUGGCACCUUGACGGUACCUAACCAGAAAGCCACGGCUAACUACGUGCCAGCAGCCGCCGGUAAUACGUAAGGUGGCAAGCCGUUAUCCGGGAAUUAUUGGGGCGUAAAGCCGCGCGGCAGGUGGGUUUCUUUAAGUCUUGAUGUGAAAAGCCCACGGGCUCAACCCGUGGGAGGGGUCAUUUGGUAAACCUGGGGAGACUUUGAGGUGCAGGAAGAAGGAAAAGUGGGAAUUUCCAUUGUUGUAGUCGGUUGAAAAUAGCGUAGAUGAUAUUGGUAGGGAACAACCCAGGUGGGCGGAAAGGGCGGACUUUUUUGGUUUUAACUGACACUGAGGCGGGGAAGCGUGGGAGCAAACAGGAUUAGAUACCCUUGUAGUCCACGCCGUUAACGAUGAGUUCUAAGGGUAGAAGGUUUCCGGCCUUUAGUUGUUAAAGUAAAGGAAUUAACCCUUCGCCCUGGGAGUUCGGCCGGAAAGGCUGAACUCAAAGGAAUUGACGGGGGCCCCGACCAGGCGUGGAGCAUGUGGUUUAAUUCGGAGGCACGCGAAGAACCUUACCAGGUUUUGACCUUCUCCGACCAACCUUGAGAAAAGGGCUUUCCUUUCGGAGCCGAAUGACCGGUGGGGCCAGGUUGUUCUCAACUCGUGUCGUGAGAAGUUGGGUUAAAUCCCGCAACGAAGGCCACCCUUGAUUUUAGUUGCCCUCCUUUAAUUGGGCCCUUCAAGGUGGCCGCCGGGGGCCAACCGGAGGAAGGUGGGGAUGGCGUCAAAUCAUCCUGCCCCUUAUGACCUGGGCUACCCCCGUGCCUCCAUGGGCGGUACAAAGAAGCGCAAGGCCCCGAGGGGGAACUAAUUUUAUAAAACCGUUUUCCGUUUGGAUUGUUGGGUGCAACUUGCCUACCAGAAACCGGAAUCGCUAGUAAUUGCGGAUUAACCAGCCGCGGGGAAUACGUUUCCGGGCCUUGGUCCCCCCCCCCGUCCCCCCCCGAGAGUUUGUAACCCCCGAAGUUGGGGGGGUAAGGGUGGACCCAGCCGCCUAAGGUGGGACAGAUGAUGGGGUGAAGUCGAACAAGAUCG